UACGUAGGGUGCAAGCGUUGUCCGGAAUUAUUGGGCGUAAAGAGCUCGUAGGCGGUCUGUCGCGUCGGAUGUGAAAACUCGGGGCUCAACCCCGGGCCUGCAUUCGAUACGGGCAGACUAGAGUUCGGCAGGGGAGACUGGAAUUCCUGGUGUAGCGGUGAAAUGCGCAGAUAUCAGGAGGAACACCGGUGGCGAAGGCGGGUCUCUGGGCCGAACUGACGCUGAGGAGCGAAAGCGUGGGGAGCGAACAGG
rnacentral:rRNA from 1 species